rnacentral:lncRNA from 1 species
GGCCAUAAUGAUUUCAUAAUAGAAACAAAUACAUAUGCAUAAUAUUCAUAUAGAACUGUUUGCGAGUAUUAGCUACAUAUAAUUAAAACUAAUUGUCUUAUUGUGCUAUAAUCUAGUACAUUACCACUAUUUUAUGUUAUCCUUUUUUAAUAUUGUUGCUGCCAAUCUCCCUACCUGAGGUCAGAUGCCGAGGUAGAUGUAGCUGAGGUGAAUCCACCACUGGGGCUUCGUCCGAGCACCUGCAAAAUAAGUCCACAUCAGGGGAGAUGACUCUGGUGUAGACCCU